UACGAAGGGGGCUAGCGUUGCUCGGAAUCACUGGGCGUAAAGCGCACGUAGGCGGAUUCUUAAGUCGGUGGUGAAAUCCUGGAGCUCAACUCCAGAACUGCCUUUGAUACUGAGAAGCUUGAGUCCGGGAGAGGUGAGUGGAACUGCGAGUGUAGAGGUGAAAUUCGUAGAUAUUCGCAAGAACACCAGUGGCGAAGGCGGCUCACUGGCCCGGUACUGACGCUGAGGUGCGAAAGCGUGGGGAGCGAACAGG
rnacentral:rRNA from 1 species